rnacentral:rRNA from 1 species
GUAGUUGAUCCGUGGCUCAGGACGACGCUGGCGGCGUGCUUAACACAUGCAAGUCGAACGGAAAGGCCCUGCUUGCAGGGUACUCGAGUGGCGAACGGGUGAGUAACACGUGGGUGAUCUGCCCUGCACUUCGGGAUAAGCCUGGGAAACUGGGUCUAAUACCGGAUAGGACCAUCGUUUAGUGUCGGUGGUGGAAAGUUUUUCGGUGCAGGAUGAGCUCGCGGCCUAUCAGCUUGUUGGUGGGGUAAUGGCCUACCAAGGCGUCGACGGGUAGCCGGCCUGAGAGGGUGGACGGCCACAUUGGGACUGAGACACGGCCCAGACUCCUACGGGAGGCAGCAGUGGGGAAUAUUGCACAAUGGGCGCAAGCCUGAUGCAGCGACGCCGCGUGGGGGAUGAAGGCCUUCGGGUUGUAAACUCCUUUCAACCAUGACGAAGCGUAAGUGACGGUAGUGGUAGAAGAAGCACCGGCUAACUACGUG